rnacentral:rRNA from 1 species
GCACAAGCGGUGGAGCAUGUGGUUCAAUUCGAAGCAACGCGCAGAACCUUACCAGCCCUUGACAUCCCGGUCGCGGACACCAGAGAUGGAGUCUUUCAGUUCGGCUGGACCGGAGACAGGUGCUGCAUGGCUGUCGUCAGCUCGUGUCGUGAGAUGUUGGGUUAAGUCCCGCAACGAGCGCAACCCUCGCCCUUAGUUGCCAUCAUUUAGUUGGGCACUCUAAGGGGACUGCCGGUGAUAAGCCGCGAGGAAGGUGGGGAUGACGUCAAGUCCUCAUGGCCCUUACGGGCUGGGCUACACACGUGCUACAAUGGCGGUGACAGUGGGAUGCAAUGGAGUGAUCCUGCGCAAAUCUCAAAAAGCCGUCUCAGUUCGGAUUGUGCUCUGCAACUCGAGCACAUGAAGUUGGAAUCGCUAGUAAUCGCAGAUCAGCACGCUGCGGUGAAUACGUUCCCGGGC